GACCAACGCUGGCGGCGUGCCUAAUACAUGCAAGUAGAACGCACAGUUUAUACCGUAGCUUGCUACACCAUAAACUGUGAGUUGCGAACGGGUGAGUAACGCGUAGGUAACCUGCCUGGUAGCGGGGGAUAACUAUUGGAAACGAUAGCUAAUACCGCAUAAUAUUAAUUAUUGCAUGAUAAUUGAUUGAAAGAUGCAAUUGCAUCACUACCAGAUGGACCUGCGUUGUAUUAGCUAGUAGGUGAGGUAACGGCUCACCUAGGCGACGAUACAUAGCCGACCUGAGAGGGUGAUCGGCCACACUGGGACUGAGACACGGCCCAGACUCCUACGGGAGGCAGCAGUAGGGAAUCUUCGGCAAUGGACGAAAGUCUGACCGAGCAACGCCGCGUGAGUGAAGAAGGUUUUCGGAUCGUAAAGCUCUGUUGUAAGAGAAGAACGGGUGUGAGAGUGGAAAGUUCACACUGUGACGGUAUCUUACCAGAAAGGGACGGCUAACUACGUG
rnacentral:rRNA from 1 species